UGGCUCAGCGGGUAGAGCAUGGUGUUUGCAACGCCAGGGUUGUGGGUUUGAUUCCUAC
rnacentral:tRNA from 1 species